rnacentral:rRNA from 1 species
GGACGGGUGAGUAAUGUCUGGGAAACUGCCUGAUGGAGGGGGAUAACUACUGGAAACGGUAGCUAAUACCGCAUAACGUCGCAAGACCAAAGAGGGGGACCUUCGGGCCUCUUGCCAUCAGAUGUGCCCAGAUGGGAUUAGCUUGUUGGUGAGGUAACGGCUCACCAAGGCGACGAUCCCUAGCUGGUCUGAGAGGAUGACCAGCCACACUGGAACUGAGACACGGUCCAGACUCCUACGGGAGGCAGCAGUGGGGAAUAUUGCACAAUGGGCGCAAGCCUGAUGCAGCCAUGCCGCGUGUAUGAAGAAGGCCUUCGGGUUGUAAAGUACUUUCAGCGGGGAGG